UCUUUACUUUAGUUGUUAAGGAACCACCCCAUCAUCAGCGACUGCAUGAGAAAAAGAAGCAAGGAGACAGCCAGAAUAUAAUCUGAGCCAAAUUCAGCAGAAUGGCCUGUUUAUCAUGGCGACCCUUCAGCUCUCAUCUCUCGUGCCUCGUAUUCCAUUUGUCUUUCAGCUGUGAAAGAGCGUUACGCAGCCCACAAGUGACCCACAAGCGCCCAAAAUGAAUACAGUGUGCUAAUAGCUGUGAGAAGACACCCUGGGAGCAACCAUGAAAUAUGUGCAAGGACCCGUGACCACUGAGAUAAUAGCCCCUGACCAGACCACGGAUUGUCUGUCCACUCUCUCCUCCGCCGCUCUCCCGCUCAGGUUUGGAGUGGCUCGGGUCCAGGACAGAUGGUUUCCAGACGAGCCACUAAACACAAGCCACAGCAGGGCCGGUGCCGGCUAUUUCCUAGCAGGGAGUUUUGUUUGUGGGAGCUUUUUGUGUUCAUCUGCCGAACCACAUCCAGGGCAGAAAGAAGAGAAGAUGGGGGCAGCUCUAAUUAAAGCCCAAGGAAGAGUGUCAUCUGCUGUGAACUCACAACCGGGGGGGCACAGCAAAUCAAUGGACAGCCAGCUCUGUCAUCACCAUCAACAGCUCCCGAUCAGAGCAAUUGGAGGGGAACAAAAAGGAGCGAGAAAGACACUACCGGGGAAGCUUCUACCACCUGUGCCGAGCCUAAGAGUGCCGAGGGGGAGAGAAAGAGGGAGACGGGCACAGAGAUCCAUGAAAAACACAGACCGAAAUUGUGACGCCACGGUUCAAUCUAUUGUGAAACACUGGAGAUUUAUCGUUUCUUAGUUAGGGUUAGCAAUUUCGCAAUCAUCACCCUAGACAUCUAUUUUGAUAAACAAAGAAGGUGCAAUUCUAUGGCCAGAAUGAUCUAAAGACCUUUUAAAAAAUAUAGAUUUUUCUUUUUCUUUUUUUUUUUUCCCCCUCUUGCUUUUGUUAUUGAAUCUAGCGGCUACACAGAGAGAGAGAGAGUGCCAACGAUAAAUGUUUCUUGCAACAAGAAAAAGUGUUUCCAGCGCAAAUUUCGGAGUAUUGAACUCUGCAAGCGGUAUCAGUGCUCUCCUGUCUGUGUGAACCGUGCCUCCGGGCCAGAGAGCUUUGGUGCGCUGGAUCAGAUUCUUACACAAACACGGCCGCAGAGACGGCAUGUUCUCGUGGCAUUAGCAUUCCAAAUGUUUUUUUUUUUGUUUUUUUUUCGAGACGAACGUGAAUGCGACUAUUUUUGUCUCAUAACGCGCGCUCUCAGAUAGCCCCCUUUUGAAUAAAUGAAUUCUGACAAGGGGAAUCUGCAUACAAAAACACAGCAGGUUUUAAGGCAGCGGCUGGUCGACCAGCGAAGACCUCUGAAGUCCUCUCUGAAUCUCUUCAUUCAUCGCCUGCUCCUUGCGGGCCCGCGGCUCUUUAAAUGGCCGCCUGUGUUUGUGCCGUGUUCACACUGGCGGUUAGAGAGGCAGCGAGGCAUACACCAACACAUUAAGUCCUCUGUGUUUGUGGUUGGCACCUGCAAAUCCUUUUGCUUGCCUUAAUGUCAUGCAGAAAUGUGUUGAAUUUAAGAUGUGAUCUUAAAUGGAACCUCGAGUGUGAUUCUGCGAAGAAAAUAGGAAAAAGCAGCGUACUUGUUUUUGCCUUCAGGCAGGCACAAAUUUAUUGGUCUUUGUGCCAGAAAUUCAGACACCUGAGCUGCGAGACCAAACCGUUUCUAAGAGUUCUGAACUUUCUACACUUUUACCCUACAGGGUUAAAGACUAUUUGAUUUGUGUCUUGUUUUGCUGCCUAGUACCAGCCUAUCUCAAUGUGCUGAGUUAACCCAAAAACAGGGUUUGAGUGACCAGUGUGUCACACUGAGGCAGCCAAAGAGUGGCCUAAAAAAUGACAAUGAUCCAAACUACAAACAAAUUACACACACACACACACACACACACACACACACAUAUAUAAGUAUAUCUUUAUCUUUCAAUUAUUAAGUAAAGACAACAAAAUUGUCUAAUUUGUAAUGACAUCGUUGUUAUGAAUAGUAAAAUUCCUACUUGACAUCCCAUUGUAUGAAAUUAGUAAGAGUCGUAUUCUUGUUCUCUUUUGUUAAAACUCCAAGAUCACAUUUUGAAAUUAGCACGGCUAAAACCAGGAAUAAAGCUGUAACACAGGUAGCAAGAGAAAUAUGUGUGGAAGAAAAUAAAGUUUCUUAGGCGGACUGUAUUGACUGCAUGACCAGUUCGGUCAACGUGAAAGUCCAGCACAACAAGCACAAGCUUAUUUCAGCUACUUUGCAGGUCAAACAUGAAGGUCGUCUAGAGUAAGACACCCUGACAAUUGCCUUCUUUUACCCUCUAAUCAUUUCCUAUUUCACUGUGUGUGGAAGAACACUGAAAUCUGAUCAGGUUGUGCAGCCAGGUUGGUUUUGAUGGUUCUUUUUCUCUAAAUGAAGGAAAUCUUAAUUUGAAAACUGUGUUUCAUAUUUACUCAAGAUACAGUUGUUUGAUAUUAAAAUAUUUUUGAUAAUGUAAAACAUUUGAAUGUGACAAAAAAAAAAAGUCCUGUCACAACGUUUUUGUUACUUUGCUCACUUAGUUUUGUACAGUGUCUGUAUUGGGGUGAACACCAUAAACUUUAGAUUGUGCUGCUGCAUGGAAACUGUUACUUUUUUCAAUAUUAUUAUUAUUUAUGUAUUUAUUUUUGUACAAAAAUCACCCAACCAUCCCGAGAUAAAAGUCCAAUGUUUCAUACACAAUCUACAUGCGCCCUGAAUAGAUACAAAAAAGUAUUAGCCAGAUGAUUUAAUCGGAAAGUAAAUUAGGAUGCCGUCAGUUCCUGCGUUUGGCAGGCUUCCAGGUGAACUUUGAUCAGUUGGAGAUUGUGUCUCCAGCUAAUUCACAUUUGUGGAAAAGUAAUGGUGGCAUGUUAUUUAUUUAAAGCGACCUUCAUUUGUCUACAAAUUAAAUGCAAGGCAGAUAUAUA